CGAUGUCGACUUGGAGGUUGUGCCCUGAGGCGUGGCUUCCGGAGCUAACGCGUUAAGUCGACCGCUGGGGAGUACGGCCGCAAGGUUAAAACUCAAAUGAAUUGACGGGGGCCCGCACAGCGGUGGAGCAUGUGGUUUAUUUCGAUGCAACGCGAAGAACCUUACCUGGCCUUGACAUCCACGGAAUUUGGCAGAGAUGCCUUAGUGCCUUCGGGAACCGUGAGACAGGUGCUGCAUGGCUGUCGUCAGCUCGUGUUGUGAAAUGUUGGGUUAAGUCCCGCAACGAGCGCAACCCUUAUCCUUUGUUGCCAGCGAUACGGUCGGGAACUCAAAGGAGACUGCCGGUGAUAAACCGGAGGAAGGUGGGGAUGACGUCAAGUCAUCAUGGCCCUUACGGCCAGGGCUACACACGUGCUACAAUGGCGCAUACAAAGAGAAGCGACCUCGCGAGAGCAAGCGGACCUCAUAAAGUGCGUCGUAGUCCGGAUCGGAGUCUGCAACUCGACUCCGUGAAGUCGGAAUCGCUAGUAAUCGUAGAUCAGAAUGCUACGGUGAAUACGUUCCCGGGCCUUGUACACACCGCCCGUCACACCAUGGGAGUGGGUUGCAAAAGAAGUAGGUAGCUUAACCUUCGGGAGGGCGCUUACCACUUUGUGAUUCAUGACUGGGGUGAAGUCGUAACAAGGUAACCAAGGGCGAAUUCUG
rnacentral:rRNA from 1 species